GACGAACGCUGGCGGCGUGCUUAACACAUGCAAGUCGAACGGAAAGGCCCUGCUUUUGUGGGGUGCUCGAGUGGCGAACGGGUGAGUAACACGUGAGUAACCUGCCCUUGACUUUGGGAUAACUUCAGGAAACUGGGGCUACUACCGGUUAGGAGCUCCUGCUGCAUGGUGGGGGUUGGAAAGUUUCGGCGGUUGGGGUUGGACUUGCGGCUUAUCAGCUUGUUGGUGGGGUAGUGGCUUACCAAGGCUUUGACGGGUAGCCGGCCUGGGAGGGUGACCGGCGACAUUGGGACUGAGAUACGGCCCAGACUCCGACGGGAGGCAGCAGUGGGGAAUAUUGCACAAUGGGCGGAAGCCUGAGUCAGCAACGCCGCGUGCGGGAUGACGGCCUUCGGGUUGUAAACCGCUUUCGCCUGUGACGAAGCGUGAGUGACGGUAAUGGGUAAAGAAGCACCGGCUAACUACGUG
rnacentral:rRNA from 1 species